rnacentral:rRNA from 1 species
CAGCCGCCACGGUAAUACGGAGGGAGCUAGCGUUGUUCGGAAUUACUGGGCGUAAAGCGCACGUAGGCGGUUAUUCAAGUCAGAGGUGAAAGCCCGGGGCUCAACCCCGGAACUGCUUUGAAACUAGAUGACUGGAAUCUUGGAGAGGUCAGUGGAAUUCCGAGUGUAGGGGUGAAAUGCGUAGAUAUCAGGAGGAACACCCAUGGCGAAGGCAGCUAUCUGGGCUAAAACUGACGCUGAGGUGCGAAAGCGUGGGGAGCGAACGGGAUUAGAUACCCCAGUAGUCCCUGUCUCUUAUACA